rnacentral:lncRNA from 1 species
CCAUAUAACAUGGCCGACCGGACCGCAGCUCUAUAGAAUUUACCUUUAAAUUUAAGAGGCACCUUCUUAUCGCAUAAAAUUCCCGAGGCAAGCCUCCAUUUCAUCCAACGUUCCCUAAUACGAUGGGAUACAUCCUCAUCAAUCUCUCCAUUCCCCUGGAUCAUAGACCCAAGAUACUUAAAACUAUCCCUCCUACAAACCGCCUGCGACUCCAACUGCACCACCACAUCGUCCUCUUGCCUCAAGUCGCUAAACUUGCACUCUAAGUACUC